GGGUGCGAUCAUACUAGCAUUAAUGCACCAAAUCCCAUCAGAACUCUGCAGUUAAG
rfam:Picea glauca, whole genome shotgun sequence.